rnacentral:lncRNA from 1 species
CCAGUCUAUAGGCUUCACAAGGAGCCAUGGCCUGUAUUUGGGGCAUUGGGGAGCAUAAGGCAUCUGAACUGGUCCAGAUCUCACUCUUAUCUUGGGCCAAGCCAACGUGGAGAGAAGCAACCCAACCAGACUCUUGGCAGCCUGCCUUACAGGGUAGCCCACCUUAUAGGGUAGCCCUCAUAUCUGCCCUGUGCCGGCCCUCUACUGCCCCAGCUUUGGUACAGGAGUGAGGGAGAAGCUGGAGCUUGCACACCCAGUGGCCAGUGGGGCUGUCUUCCCAGCUCCUCCUCAGGGCUUUCCUGUCAGUGCCAAGCCAGUUCCCCAGCCAGGUUUCCGUGUGCCAUUUGCCAGCGUGUGGGAGCUCUGCGCGUGUGUGAGGGUGUUUGUAGAAGAGGGCAGUUUCCUUUCAAAUGGCCUUAGGAAGGGAAAAGAGUACUCCCUCCAGCCCCUAGGUAGCCUUGGCCAGGGAUGUGGGCCAAGAACAGUCUGUGGAGCUGGCCAACUUGUGGCAUCCACUCCAAAUAGCAGAGACCCAGUCACGCCUGCUUCUGGUCCUCCCUGCCCUCAGUAUUUGGUUUUGUACACCAAAGAUGAUCUGGCCCAUCUUCCUCCCAGAGGCACAACAGUAACAUGUUCCUCUGUCAGCCUGUGAAGGCAUGCAGGGUUCUGAAGCCACAGACUCAGUCUCCCCAAGUCAGCAAUCUCUUUCUCUCUCUCUCCUCAAACUUCAUCGCAUUCAUAGAAGCUGCUUGCAGGGUCGCCGGGCUAACCAGGGUGAUCGGCGAACUUUACCGUACAGUACCUCAGUCUAGCUGUCAGAUCACCCCUUUUGCUGUAGCCUCUGUUGAGGUUUUUAUAUUUGUGAUCAUUGGUAAUUCAGUGUCCUAUGAAGUGGGCACAGCUCCCCACAGAGAGCAAGUUGUCAGCAGGUCUCUGUGCACUGGUAUUGGGGCAGGGCAGUGCCCUGGGGGUAAGCUAGGUGGCUCAGGGAGUGGCAGAAGGGCCAUUUUUCCCUCUGCCAAAAAGACUUCCUUGGAUUUGUAGAUGUUGACCCAGAGUCCUCUGUCCCCUCCUGAAGAGGAUUUUCUUACUGGUUUCUACUGAAGGGGAGGUAGGGGAGGAGGAAAAAAGGACCAUGUGUGAUGCUGUUAGACAAGACACUGACGCUGAUUAUGGAGGGUCUCCUGCAGGCCCUUGUGGGCUCCUUGGCAAGGCCCCAGGCUGGGAAGGAGCUCCCCCCACUGCCCAUCCUGCCCGCUUUGUGGCGGGUAGAGUCAGUGACAGGGAGGCAGCCCUCCUUUUGUGUAUAUAGAGUGAGCUGAUUUGGGCUCAGGAAAACCUAGUCGCUUGUUGCUCUCGUCUGUGACAUUUUUGUACACUGGUUUGCUACUCAUGGCAAGAAACAGACAAAGCCCCAUGAAAAAUAAAACAAAACAAAAGUCAUUUCAAACAAAGCUGUUGUUUUGAAAACUCUUGCUUUCUUUUGGUGUCCAUUUUGUGUUCUAUUUUAAAGAAUCUUUCAUUUAUAUUGGUGUUAUUGUAGUGAAGAGAAUGUGAUAGGCUGAUCUGUAAUGGUUUCUGUCAGGAGCUUAGCAAAUGCCUCUGCCCCUCUUCCCCUACCCCUGUCCUUCCUCAGUUCCCAGCUGGGAUUGCUAUGCACUGGGCAGACCCGUCACUGUCUCCCCUGAACCCCCACACAGUGGCUUCCCUUAGAACCAGUCUUUGUACUCUCCCUAAACAGCAGCAGGCUUAGGAUUUUUGUCAGGCUGGUUCUUGCGUGCUCUGUGCCCCCACCAGUUUGCUCACCUCUUGGGGCAUUUUGUAAUGUGUUUUCUCUGUCUUGUAAAACCUUUUGAUUGUACCGAAAUGGUAUCUGCAGUCGCCUUUGGAAAUAAAUGGUCAUUAAUUUGUGUACUUAGCAUUCUGAAUUUUAGUCUCAGGUGUUUCUGUUGUUGAAGAUCCUUGAAUGAAAAGGAACCCUCACCAUGGGGCUUACUGUUAUAAUGUUUCUUCAUUUACUGUUAUUAAAAGAUUUAUGAG